AGAGAAGAAAUGGGCAAGUGCAAAGAGAAGCCAGCAGCGCUGGAGGAAGAGGAGGAUAUGCAGGAAGAAUUGGGCAAUGAGAUCUCCUUGGAAAGAUGAAUGGUGUUGGGGCAGUGGCUUUCACAGCACCCUGGGAGGGAUUUACAGCUCCAUGACCUGCACUCACACCUGGCGGCUGAUGCUGCCUUGGAGAUUAUACCCAGGAAGUCACAUCUGACAGAUCAAAGCAGCUGAACUCCUAAACAACCAGGGACUUAGCUCAGCCAUCAUUGCAGUGCCAAAAACUUCUGAGAAGACCAGCUUCUAAACAGAAUAAAAAUAUUCAAUAAGGCAUCAGAAAAAUACCAUUCUAUACCUUUAAUACAAACACUAUUAUAUUUUCAAA